CAUUUUUGUUUCAUUUUAGGGUUCGUUUGGGAGGCUGAAAUCCCGAGAGAUUCCGGCCUUUUCUAACGCUGAAAAUUCACUCCGUGUCAGAUGAACGUAGCCUUUGUUUGGCCCAUUUCACGGGAUUUUGCGGCUUGAUCCGUGUGGUUUCCACGGGAAAGAUAUCCACGCCAGUCCAGGUUGGGCUCGAUUCCCCAUCCCAGUCAUGACGCUUCUGCAAUACUCGCGAGCUGCCGUCUCCAUUGCCGCGCCUCCACCUACUCGACGCUCGCAUCUCCUCCUCCAUUGCUGUGCCUCCACCUCCACCAGCACCUCCGCUCAGGCACUACCCAUCGGCGACGAUAGACAAGGAGAUGAGGAGGAUGAUUUGAAGAAGCGAAGAGACAGCUACAUCAAUGGUGGAGACCGUAGGUCACGCUGGGAGAGGUGCUGCGACUGAAUCCGGGGUGUAUUCAAUCGUUGGCGGCCACGACUAGGCUAGGCUCAGAGCUUCUUCGUUCUCUCUCUCACCGAAGGUUCUGCUGGUGAGGGUGAGGUGGUGUUUGGCUACUUCGUGACUGCCGAUGCAAGUGGUGGGGAAGGGUAGUACAUCCUACUCUGGUGAUCCGUAGUUUUUGGGGUGGAGCCUAAGGGCAAAUGACUCCACUCUCCUUUUGUUGUUGUUAAGGUUUUAUCUUCCGCUGCGUAGUUUCUCUUUGUGUAAACUGUUGCAAAUGGUUGCAUGCUAAAGAACUUGUAAUAUAACUUUAAUUACUCGCUCUUUCUUAUGCUAUGUUGUGAUGUAUAUGUUGGAA